CCCCCGGCGCUGAGGCUGAGUGAGACGACACACCUGCUACUCGUCUCCAAUCAAGGGACUUUAAGAAGCCUGCAGCCCUCAGUCUCAGCGCCUGAGUAUUGUCUACCCUGCCCAGCGGUAAAGACGCGUCUCCUGGCCAAAACCUCGUGGUAUAACUUUCUGAACUUUACUCCUUGUGACUCGUUGCAUGUCCCUUAACUCCUGUCUCCUCUGGUUUCUCCUGCAGUGUCUCCAGCCCACACGACAGCCAGCCUACCAGCCAACCAACCGGACUUCCUUUGUUCCCUUAUCUAUCCCUUUCUGUUUUUGGACAUUAAAAUCGUUUUACGUUGAGCUCUGUCUCAGUGUCUGCUUCUGGGUCCUCACUACAAGCCUGCCG